CCCCCGCCUUGCCGUUGAUCUGACCUCUUAGUGAACCACACGUGACAUCCCCGACGUCCUCCUCCAGCAUCAUCUGCGCCAGAGGAUCUCUGGGAACGAGUGCGGCGGCCGCAGGGUGUAGUUUGGCGGCGCGCUGAUGGAUGCCGCGCAGAGCAUGGGCAAGUCUACUUGAUCCCAAUCAAGUAGCACCUCUGUCGUCCAAGAUCUGGUAUUAUCAUGUUUGUUGGCGCUUGCUAUAACUCUGAGGUGCUUGCUACGUUUAACUGGGCGAGGAGACUACGACUAUAACGCUUCUACAGUUGAAGGCGAUGUACUCCUGUCCUUCAGUAGUUUUAU